rnacentral:rRNA from 1 species
GUUCAUUGUGUAAUUCAAUGUGGCUUGAAUUUAAAAAAUUAUUAUGGUUUGGUUUAGGAAAUAUCCUUUUUUCUUAGUAGUUCAUUUGAAUAGAUUUUUUUUAUUAUAGCUUAUUAGUAAAGUGGUUGAAUUUUUAAUUAAUUUUAAAUUUUUCAAAGAAGAAUUGAUUUUUUGUACCUUGUGUAUCAGGGUUAAUUAAUUUUAAAUUUUUUAUGAAAAUUUUCCCGAAUUAGAAAGAGCUAAUUAAUUAUUUUUUAAUUGUUAAAUAAAUUUUAUUAAUGGUUAGUUGGUAAUGAAACGUUAUUCGUUUUCUAGGAUAUCUGGUUUUUUGAGAAAUGAAUUUAAUUCUAUUGUUAAAUUAAAUUAAGUACAAUUAUUGUUUUUAAUUUAUUUUCAUUAAAUAUAAAUUGGGAUUAGCUUUUUUAUAUUUUUCUACAUUAGGAAAUUUUUGGUUAAUAAGUAUAAUUAUAAUUGUUAAUCUUUAGAAUAAUUUUAUAGUUGAUUUCCUUUUAAUAAAUUAUUUUUAUUUUAUUUAGAUUUUUUAUCAAAAAGUUUUCUUUAAUUUUUUUGUUAAUUUAUAAUGAUUAAAUUAGUAAAAUAUUUUGUGAUUUGUUUAUUUUUAAUUAGGUUUAGUAAAGGAAUUCGGCAAAAAUGUUUUUCGCCUGUUUAUUAAAAACAUGUCCUUUUGAAUAUUAUUUAAGGUCUAAUCUGCUCAAUGAGGAGUUAAAUUGCCGCGGUAUUUUGACCGUGCGAAGGUAGCAUAAUAAUUAGUUUUUUGAUUGAAAGCUGGAAUGAAUGAUUGGACGAGAAAACUUCUGUCUCUACUAAAUUUUUUUUUGAAUUUAACUUUUAAGUAAAAAGGCUUAAAUUUUCCUUAAAGACGAGAAGACCCUAUAGAGUUUUACAUUUAUUUUGUUGAGAGUUUUUGGUAUUAAUUAUUUUUAUAAUAAUUAAAUGUUUGGUUGGGGUGACUGAAAGAUUAAAUAAACUCUUUUUAAUUUUUGUUACUGAUUUGUAAUUUUUCAAGCCUGGAUUUUUCAAGUUUAAUAUAAAUUACCUUAGGGAUAACAGCGUAAUUUCUCUUUGGAGUUCUUAUUGGAAGAGGAGUUUGCGACCUCGAUGUUGGAUUAAAAUUAAUAUUGGGUGCAGUAGCUCAAUUAUUAGGUCUGUUCGACCUUUAAAAUUUUACAUGAUCUGAGUUUAAACCGGUGUGAGCCAGGUUGGUUUCUAUCUUUAGUUUAUUAUGGCAUUUUAGUACGAAAGGACCGGGUGCUUGAUAUAAUAUUUUUAUUUUGAAUAUUAUUAUUACUUUGGCAGAUUAGUGCAAUUGAUUUAGAAUCAUUUUAUGUAAUUGUUGUUACAG